UGCUGGGUAGUGUAUUUUUGGUUGGCAGCUUUUUUUCUUUUAGCACAUUGAAUAUAUCACGCCACUCCCUACCUGCCUGCCAAGUUUCUGCUAAAAAAUCCACUGACUAAAAAUCCAUGGGGGUUACCUUAUACAUAACAAGGUAAAUUUUCUCUUCCUGCUUUAAAAAUUCUCUUCUUGGGAUCCCUGGAUAGCUCAGCUGGUUAAGCGUCUGCCUUUGGCUCAGGUCAUGAUCCCAAGGUCCUGGAAUCAAGUCCCACAUUUGGCUCCUUGCUCAGCAGGGGGGCCUGCUUCUCCCUCUGCCUGUGCUCUAAUAAAUAAAAUCUUUAAAAAAAAUAAAAUAAAAAUUCUCUUCUUUAACUUUUCAUAAUUUAAUUAUGUUUCUUGGUGUGGGUCUCUUGAAUUCAUCUUAUUUAUAACUCUGUGGACUUCUUGGAACUAGAUGCCCAUUUCUUUCCCCAGAUUAGGGAAAUUUCUAGCCAUUAUUUCUUCAAUAAGCUUUCUGCUCCUUUCUGUCUCUCUUUUUCUGGGACAACUAUAUUGCAAAUAUUCAUCCACUUGAUGGUAUCCUUUAAGUCCCUUAAGGUAUCUCCAGUCUUUUCCAUUUUUUUUUUCUCUUUUUGUUCCUGUGUUUGGAUGAAUUCCACUGCCCAAUCUUUGAGUUCACUGAUCUUUUCUUCCAGCUGAUCUAGUCUUUUGAAUUUUUCUGUAGUUACUGUAUUCUUUUCAGGUCUGUGGUUUCUGUUUGGUACAUUCUUUUAUUUCUAUCUCCUAAAAUUCUCACUUUGUUCAUGCAUUAUUCUCCUGACCAUGCUAAACAUCUUUAUGACUAUUAUUUUGCACUCUUUGUCAGACAAAUCACUUAUCUCCAUUUCAUUAAGGUCUGUUUCUGGAGUUUUUCCUUGUUCUUUUUUUGGAACAUGUUCCUGUUUCUUCAUUAUCCUUGAUUCUCUGUUUUGGUUUCUAUGUAUUAGGUAAAACAGCCACUCUUCCAGUCUUUAUAAAGUGGUCUUGUGUAGGAGAUGGACCUUAUUGUUCAGCCUGCCUUGAGCUCUUAGUUAUCUCUUUGUGGAAGUCAAAACUGCCUUUUUUUCCUUAGUAGCUCCCAGUAGUUGUGGGUGCCAAUACCUGUCAGUGUGCCAAAGGGUAGGAUCUCAGUCAGCACUAGAUAUAAGCUGACUGAAAGCUGAACCCUUAGUCAGCAGCUUUUAAAGUAUGCAAGCAGACUUCUUUCAGGGUAAGACUAGGAGCUCAGCAUUUUCCUCUGCUCAUCUCUGCUCUGAGUCCUCAAGGGAUAGCCAGAAUGGACAACACCAAGAGUAAACUUUAACAUACACUACAGACUUUGGAUGAUUAUAACACGCCAAUGCAGAUUCAUCAAUUGUAACAAAUGUACCAUUCUGAGAACUAUCGAUGGAGAAAAUAGCCUUCAACAUCCAAGCAGUCACAGGUGUGGCCUCAUCCAUGUCUAAGCAGCCAUGUGUCUACUAUGAUUUGCCUCAGAAAGACAAGUCACUAAAGUUGGGCCAAUAAGAUUUUUAAUUGAGAGAUACAGAGUCUGGGAAGGAGAAGCUAAGACACACUAAUGGCUAAUCUCUAAAUCAAAGAUCCAUGAUUUCCUGCUGGUGAGGUUCCCAGAGCUGCCCUGAGACCCGGUUCAUCUUUCACCUUUAUCUUAGAUUCCUUGGGAUACACAAACAUGAUU